GCUUUUGAAGUUUGCUUUGUUAAGUUUGUUUGUAAAAUUUUCGAAAAAGUAAAAAAGAGACGAAGUUUAAGAUUACAAAAGAAACAGAACGAUACCUUUUCUUUUUGGAAACGUAUGUGGCUUCACGAAAAAUAGCAAAACAAAUAAAAUUACUUAAAUAUGAUCGUCGUGUGAACUCUGGUGUCGCGGCUCCAGUCCACUGGUUCAUGCCUCCAAUCCAUGAGCAUGUUUAGCAGAUUAUAGAGCCUUCAUUUGCUGUGAGCCCCCUGUUUCAUUUUCAGCAGCUUGAGCCGGCAAUCAUCAACACAAAUUAUGCAAGUUUUGUUUGUGCUGGCAUUGACCAGUCAUCUGCAGCAAUCUCAGUAUCUUCACUUAGGUCAGGCUUGGAUUCUCAGCAUCCAUCUUGAUUGAAGAAACUAUCGAUGUCGGUCGAGUUACGGAUCCCUUCUGCCCCUUUUUCUAUUCCGGCUGCUGGUGGAUUCAACUUUUUCAGCGGAUGGAUGGAAGCACUUGUAGAUGGAUGCCUGGCCGAAUCUCCCAGGCAUAAAGGUCGGACAAAUUUAUCUCUAUAUUCCUGCAUGGCCUCCUCGCUUCAGAUUCUCUCCGGUUGUUAUUUGUAGCUUUUGGCUAUCGUCCUUGCGUGUGUGUCUUUUUUUAUCGCUCAAUUAUUUUAUGUGUAACAAAAGAUGAGAAAACAGCUUUCCCUGGGCAUCCGCAAUUGCGCUCGUCUAUAAUGUAGAACGAUAAUGAUGUGGGGCCGGGAAUAUUUAUACGACGCUUUUAUGAAUAGUGCUACUCCAGUUUAUGACUCCGGGGGGGGAACAUUUUUACGAUCCUUCAGUCACGGCUCGUCGCCGAUGGACAAUUCAUGUCUUUUAAGACCUGUGAUAUUUGUAGCAGCAACAACAACAGACAUGGGAUGCGAUUUCAUUAUCUUCCACCGUCGCUUUUGUCCAGCAUGUUGCCCUUGCCAUCUCCUGGGAUUAUCUUUUUAGGUGGAGUGGAAACUUAAACAAUAAAAAGAUGAAAGGGAAA